AACGUAGGAGGCGAGCGUUAUCCGGAUUUACUGGGCGUAAAGCGCGCGCAGGUGGUUUGGUAAGUUGGAUGUGAAAGCUCCUGGCUUAACUGGGAGAGGUCGUUCAAGACUGCCAAACUUGAGUGUGGGAAAGGAAGGCGGAAUUCCGGGUGUAGUGGUGAAAUGCGUAGAUAUCCGGAGGAACACCAGUGGCGAAAGCGGCCUUCUGGCCCACAACUGACACUCAUGAGCGAAAGCUAGGGGAGCGAACGGG
rnacentral:rRNA from 1 species